rnacentral:rRNA from 1 species
UACAGAAGAAGCACCGGCUAACUCCGUGCCAGCAGCCGCGGUAAUACGGAGGGUGCGAGCGUUAAUCGGAAUUACUGGGCGUAAAGCGCAUGCAGGCGGCCUGUUAAGUCAGAUGUGAAAGACCCGGGGCUUAACCUCGGAAUUGCAUUUGAAACUGGCAGGCUAGAGUCUUGUAGAGGGGGUAGGAAUUUCAGGUUGGUUAGCGGUGAAAUGCGUAGAGAUCUGAAGGAAUACCAGUGGCGAAGGCGGCCCCCUCGGACAAAGACUGACGCUCAGAUGCGAAAGCGUGGGGAGCAAACAGGAUUAGAUACCCUGGUAG